CUCGUCAACGAACGGGUUGCAGAAGAGGAUGCCUGUCGCAGUGUCCACCCAGUAGAGCUUGCCGGCGUGGGAAACGACGUCAAAGAAUCUCCAGAUCUAGCGGGGCAGGGGGUUGUUGGCGAGGGUGGCCUCGUCGCCGCCAACGAUGAACUAGAAGUCGACGGCCAGGUACUUUCCCCCACCUCCUGGCGCGACGAUGAUGCUCAGAUAGUUGUUGAAGACGCGUCUCUCCAAGUCAGGGACGUAGGAGGCGGUGCGGGCGGCGAUGUCGCAUAUGAAGUAGUGCUAUGUCGGGAUGGUGGUGACGCGGAAUGUGUGCACCUUGCCGUCGACGUCAGUCUAGGACUACAGCUCGCCGAAGUCAGCAGGUUCUGUGGACGGCGGCGCGAGAGGACGAGCCCCACGGAGGGGUCGAUCACGAUGACGCAGGACUUCCACUUGGCAGAGGGGUUCACCGUCGCUCAAAUGACGCUGUACGGCUACUUGGGGGUGAUGAACUGA
rnacentral:lncRNA from 1 species